CAAUGGGAGGAAACCUGAUGCAGCAACGCCGCGUGGAGGAUGACGCACUUCGGGUUGUAAACUCCUUUUAUGUGGGAAGAAUAAUGACGGUGCCCUAUGAAUAAGCACCGGCUAACUCCGUGCCAGCAGCCGCGGUAAUACGGAGGGUGCAAGCGUUACUCGGAAUCACUGGGCGUAAAGCGCGCGCAGGCGGUCUUUUAAGUUGGAUGUGAAACCUAGAGGCUCAACUCGUAGAACUGCAUCUCAAACUCGUUCGGCUAGAGUGUAGUGAGAGGAAGAUGGAAUUACUUGCU
rnacentral:rRNA from 1 species